CCUACGGGAGGCAGCAGUGGGGAAUUUUGGACAAUGGGGGAAACCCUGAUCCAGCCAUGCCGCGUGCGGGAAGAAGGCCUUCGGGUUGUAAACCGCUUUUGUCCGGGAAGAAAUGACCUCCCCUAAUACGGGGGGUUCCUGACGGUACCGGAAGAAUAAGCACCGGCUAACUACGUGCCAGCAGCCGCGGUAAUACGUAGGGUGCGAGCGUUAAUCGGAAUUACUGGGCGUAAAGCGUGCGCAGGCGGUUCGCUAAGUCUGAUGUGAAAGCCCCGGGCUCAACCUGGGAAUGGCAUUGGAAACUGGCGGGCUUGAGUGUGGCAGAGGGGGGUGGAAUUCCACGUGUAGCAGUGAAAUGCGUAGAGAUGUGGAGGAACACCGAUGGCGAAGGCAGCCCCCUGGGCUAACACUGACGCUCAGGCACGAAAGCGUGGGGAGCAAACAGGAUUAGAUACCCUGGUAGUCCACGCCCUAAACUAUGUCAACUGGGUGUUGGGGGAAGCGAUUCCUCAGUACCGUAGCUAACGCGUGAAGUUGACCGCCUGGGGAGUACGGCCGCAAGGUUAAAACUCAAAGGAAUUGACGG
rnacentral:rRNA from 1 species